rnacentral:lncRNA from 1 species
CCAGGACUCACUCACUCGCAUCAAUUAAAAUAAGGUGCAACCUCAAUAAUAAACGAAAUAACGGUUCCCAAGUUUGGAACAUACAAAUACAUUCAUUUCUAUCCCAAUCAUCCAUACAGUCCCAAAUACAUCAAAAAAGUUAAGUUCUCCGUACAUUCAACCCUAAUCGAGUGGCUAGUGCAAGUACAAUUACAAAAUUCAAAACAACUAGACUACGCUAGUCUGUACACGUCUCACGCCUCGCUCGUACCCCUGUAAGGAAAAUAAAUGGCGUGGAAUGAGCUAAAAGCCCAAUAAGGUUCCAAAUAGCAAGUUAACCCUUAUUUAAAAGUGCAAGUAUCACGUAGUAAAGUAAUGAGUAUGAAUAGUUCAUAAAAGUGAGUAAUAAUACUUCAAGUAGCAAAUCUCAAAGUGAGCGAGUGUAAAAGUUUUUCAAAAGAAACAAUAAUCCAAUAAACAAUAAUCGCUCCAAAAUAUAAGGAUACGGAUGGCUCUCAGGAGCCAAAUUCCUAUUGCAUCACCAGAGCUUGAUCAAAUAUUAGUUGACACUCCGUCAACCUUCAAGUAAGUAACCAAUCCAGUAGAGCACCACUUAUACUACUCUCCGUCCACCAUUCACACCCCCUAUUGGGUCCAAAAUCCUCAAUAAAUAUUGGUGGUAAUACUCGAGUAUACCGAUUAAUCGAGAAGAUAUCACUCCAUUCGAAAAAAUGAAAGACCCAUGGUUCGUUACCCAAUCGACCAAGCCCUUGCCGAUUCGACUCGAUUAACUAGCCAAUGGGGUUUGGGGUCCCAAAAAAAUCGACGAGGUAACACUCCAAUCGACUGAAUUAAAAUAAAAGUAUGGAGACGAGAAUGAGAGGCACCUCCCACUCGGAUAGAGUGUGAUACAUGCUGCCGCUCCACACUUACAAAUCAAGUACAAGUAUAUCAAGUUAAUUGCAACAAUAAACAAGUAGAUAUCAUAUUAGGGCAAGUGCGAUAAAGUACACCCUUACCCGAUCAAUAAAUUUCGUAUCAUGUAUUUUCAUGGAUCAAGUAUUAAAACAAGUGUCAAGUUCAAACAGAUAUUUGGAAGCACUCACCAAAAGUCUAGUGCCUCUCAAAAACACGUUCAGGUCCAACUCCUUGGUUGGAGUCCAAAUCUGGGAUAAAAUAUCAUUUACGAAUGUAAAAUUUUCUAGAUUUCGAAACAUAGGAGUUUCGCUUCAAGAAAAUCAAGUAAAUGCAACUCGUUUGAGUAGUAUUCAAGAUACUUAUCAAAUUCUAAGAAAUUCAUGCUCGCUCUUAAGAUUUUGAAACUUGAAAACAAUUAUACUUUGAAAUACCAUUUGGGUCGACGAAAUGGAGAAAAGUAUAUCUAUUAGUCAUAAAUUUCAUUUUUUCAAGGGUACAAGGUCGGCCAAGUUCUAACUUAUAUACCUCGAUAAAAGAAUGUGCAAAUAUCCAAGAUGGUUCAAGUGGUAUUCACUCUCAAACCUUACUCAAGUUGCAAGCAUAUCUACCUAGUUCUCGAGCGUAAAUUUGGGCAGCACGCCCUUUGUAUUUACCUAUUUUCCAGCCAUUUAUGGCUUCAUUCUUUUCUUCAAUCAAACCCAAAGUUACACAAAACAUAAUUUCAUUUCAUUAGCCGUCCAAUAGGCUCAAGGUCAUACAAGUACAAAAUCAAGCUAAGAACAUGUGCGGAAAUGAAGUUUAAGUUAGGAAAUAAAAGGCAGAUUUGACGUUGUUUUGCGUAACGGACACAACCAGAGCUACGCUUAUCAGAUUGGGGUGAAAUUUAUACCGUUUCGAAGCUAAGACAGAGGGCUAUAACUUUGAUGAAGAUUACUUAGUCCAGUUCUCAUCCUAACUAGGUCAAAGUUAUCAAAACAACCCCAGAUUUUCCAGUUCGAAACUCACUGUGAAAUUCAACUAGCAGUCCUGAUUCAUUCAAUCAUAUCUCAGCACACACAACUCCGAUUCAGGUAAUUCCAAAGUCAUUUGAAAGCUAAGAUACAAGGAUAUAAUUAUUAAGAAGACAUUGACAACCAAAUCAGUAGUAUUCCCAGUCAAACUAACCAAUUACAGAAGCUGAUUAUCAGUUUUGGACAGAAACAGGGCAGCAGGGGUAUUUUGGUCUUUUCAUAGGAUACGGAGGUCGGAUUGGGCUGAAAUUUUGUAGAAAAUCAUAAAAUAUCAUUCUCUACAACUUUCAUGUUUUGGGCUAAAGUUGGUUCGGUCUCUAACAUACUCAAACAGAAACGGGCAGAAUUGAACCAUAAGAAACCGAUAUUCUGGAAAUUUGCUCCAUUCAAGGUAUAACUCUCAUUUUAAACUUAAAACCAGCACUACAACCUCAUAUACAAGCUUAUAUACAUCAUAUACCAUCCAUACAGCAAGUAUAAGAAGAAAAUCAUUCAAACCCAAAGUUGAAAUUUUACACUACAAAGCUGGAAUUGACCAAAUCUACUACUAAAUCAUGAGAUCUACCCAACAAACCAUAACUUUCACUUGUAAACCAUUAAGUAGUACAACCAUGAACUAAUACCUUCCUUACCUAGGAUUGGAGAAGCACAACAGCCUUUAGGAAACUUGAACCACCAGAACUCUCCACUCCAAGAUGGCAAUCCACCUUCCUAAGCAACUUCCAUGGAUUAUUUGGUGAAUCUAUCGGUUAGUUUGCAAGAUUGAGUAAGAAAUCAAGAUGGAAUGAAGUGUUUCUUUCUCUCCUUUUCUCUCCUCACUCUCACGGCCAAAUGUGCAGAAAUGAAGAAGAAAUGCAGUCCAAGGAAAGAUAAGAAAG